GACGAACGCUGGCGGCGUGCCUAAUACAUGCAAGUCGAACGAACCGCGACUAGGUGCUUGCACUUGGUCAAGGUGAGUGGCGAACGGGUGAGUAACACGUGGGUAACCUACCUCAUAGUGGGGGAUAACAGUCGGAAACGACUGCUAAUACCGCAUAGGACAUAGGAUCACAUGAUCCAGUGAGGAAAGGUGGCGCAAGCUAUCGCUAAGAGAUGGACCCGCGGUGCAUUAGCUAGUUGGUAGGGUAAAGGCCUACCAAGGCGAUGAUGCAUAGCCGACCUGAGAGGGUGAUCGUCCACAUUGGGACUGAGACACGGCCCAAACUCCUACGGGAGGCAGCAGUAGGGAAUCUUCCGCAAUGGACGCAAGUCUGACGGAGCAACGCCGCGUGAGUGAAGAAGGUCUUCGGAUCGUAAAGCUCUGUUGUUAGAGAAGAACAGCGCAUAGAGUAACUGUUAUGCGUGUGACGGUAUCUAACCAGAAAGCCACGGCUAACUACGUG
rnacentral:rRNA from 1 species